UGAUCCUGGCUCAGAACGUACGCUGGCGGCACGCCUAACACAUGCAAGUCGAACGAAGUAGCAAUACUUAGUGGCAGACGGGUGAGUAACAUGUGGGUAUCUACCCUUUGGCCUGGAAUAACACGAGGAAACUCGUGCUAAUACCGGAUAAGUCUUUACGGAGAAAGCUUUAUGCACCAUUGGAUGAGCCCGCACUUGAUUAGUUUGUUGGUAGGGUAAUGGCCUACCAAGACUAUGAUCAAUAGCUGAUUUGAGAGGAUGAUCAGCCACAUUGGGACUGAGACACGGCCCAAACUCCUACGGGAGGCAGCAGUGGGGAAUCUUGCACAAUGGAGGAAACUCUGAUGCAGCGAUGCCGCGUGAGUGAAGAAGGCCCUUGGGUUGUAAAGCUCUUUCGUCGGGGAAGAAAAUGACUGUACCCGAAUAAGAAGGUCCGGCUAACUUCGUGCCAGCAGCCGCGGUAAUACGAAGGGACCUAGCGUAGUUCGGAAUUACUGGGCUUAAAGAGUUCGUAGGUGGUUGAAAAAGUUAGUGGUGAAAUCCCAGAGCUUAACUCUGGAACUGCCAUUAAAACUUUUCAGCUAGAGUAUGAUAGAGGAAAGCAGAAUUUCUAGUGUAGAGGUGAAAUUCGUAGAUAUUAGAAAGAAUACCAAUUGCGAAGGCAGCUUUCUGGAUCAUUACUGACACUGAGGAACGAAAGCAUGGGUAGCGAAGAGGAUUAGAUACCCUCGUAGU
rnacentral:rRNA from 1 species